rnacentral:rRNA from 1 species
CGGACGGGUGAGUAACACGUGGAUAACCUACCUAUAAGGACUGGGAUAACUUCGGGAAACCGGAGCUAAUACCGGAUAAUAUAUUGAACCGCAUGGUUCAAUAGUGAAAGACGGUUUUGCUGUCACUUAUAGAUGGAUCCGCGCCGCAUUAGCUAGUUGGUAAGGUAACGGCUUACCAAGGCAACGAUGCGUAGCCGACCUGAGAGGGUGAUCGGCCACACUGGAACUGAGACACGGUCCAG